AGACUGAAGGCUGAAGCAGGUCAGUGUUCCUGUUUUUCCUCUCAGACUGACUUCAGAUCAGAAGAUGAGUGAUUGUGUGGAGGAAGAGGAGGACAGAGCAGAGUCUCUAGUCUCUGGCUGUCUGUCUAUGAAGAGUGAUCAGUCUAAAGAAUAUCCUCCAUUCUUCAGUAAUGAACCUGGACCCUCAGAGUCAAAAGUUCAGUACAGACCGAGAGCAGAGUCUCCAGUACCCAGCUGUCUGUCUAUGAAGAGUGACCAGUCCAAAGGAAUACCUAUAUGCUUCAGUGAUGAACCUGGACCCCCAGACACAAAGUAAGAGACUGUUUUUACUGUAAUCUGACCUG